rnacentral:rRNA from 1 species
CAAGUCCAUACGACUCUCGGCAACGGAUAUCUCGGCUCUCGCAUCGAUGAAGAACGUAGCGAAAUGCGAUACUUGGUGUGAAUUGCAGAAUCCCGUGAACCAUCGAGUCUUUGAACGCAAGUUGCGCCCGAAGCCUCGGCUGAGGGCACGUCUGCCUGGG